UACGUAGGGGGCAAGCGUUGUCCGGAUUCAUUGGGCGUAAAGAGCUCGUAGGCGGUUUUGUCGCGUCUGCCGUGAAAGUCCGGGGCUCAACUCCGGAUCUGCGGUGGGUACGGGGCAGACUAGAGUGAUGUAGGGGAGACUGGAAUUCCUGGUGUAGCGGUGAAAUGCGCAGAUAUCAGGAGGAACACCGAUGGCGAAGGCAGGUCUCUGGGCAUUAACUACGUGAGGAGCGAAAAGCAUGGGGGAGCGAACAGGG
rnacentral:rRNA from 1 species